rnacentral:rRNA from 1 species
GACGAACGCUGGCGGCGCGCUUAACACAUGCAAGUCGAACGGAAAGGCCUGCUUUCCCUUGUGGAUUGCGGGUACUCGAGUGGCGAACGGGUGAGUAACACGUGAGUGAUCUGCCCCCAACUUGGGUAUAAGCCUGGGAAACUGGGUCUAAUUCCCGAUAGGACUGCAGGGUGGUGCCUGUGGUGGAAAACGAUUUUCUAGUGGUUGGGGAUGAGCUCGCGGCCUAUCAGCUUGUUGGUGGGGUAAUGGCCUACCCAGGCGGCGACGGGUAGCCGGCCUGAGAGGGUGGACGGCCACAUUGGGACUGAGAUACGGCCCAGACUCCUACGGGAGGCAGCAGUGGGGAAUAUUGCACAAUGGGCGGAAGCCUGAUGCAGCGACGCCGCGUGGGGGAUGACGGCCUUCGGGUUGUAAACUCCUUUCGACCGCGAGGAAGCCACCUGGUUGGAAGGGUGGUGACGGUAGUGGUAGAAGAAGCACCGGCUAACUACGUG